GUGAAUCAUCGAAUCUUUGAACGCACAUAGCGCCCGCCGGCCAUUCCGGCGGGCAUGCCUGUCCGAGCGUCGAUGACGCCUUUCGAGCCCCUCUCUCUGAUGGGCUCGGUGUUGGGGCGCUAGGGGGUAAACCCCCCUAGGCCCCCAAGCAGAAGUGCGCGGUCUGUCUGCGGGCCCCGGGUACAGUAAUUUUACCGUUACCCUGGGAGAAGCAGCUGGGCUUGCCGUAAAACCCCCGACAUAGGGAUCUCCGUAGGGAGGGACCGCCAUAUGUUGACCUCGGAUCAGGUAGGACUACCCGCUGAACUUAA
rnacentral:misc_RNA from 1 species